rnacentral:pre_miRNA from 1 species
UCCCCAGAGCCUUGCAGAUGGGACCCUAUCAAUGUUGCCUCUGCUCUCAGCAGCAUUUCUCAGUAGUGCAAUAUUGCUUAUAGGGUGUCGUCUGUGGGGGACU